rnacentral:rRNA from 1 species
GAUGAACGCUAGCGGCAGGCUUAAUACAUGCAAGUCGAGCGGCAGCGCAGUGUAGCCAUACCCGGCCGGCGACCGACAAACGGGUGCGGCACACGUACGCAACCUACCAAUAACUGAUGAAUAGCCCUCCGAGGGGAGAAUUAAUACCUCGUAACUUAAUGAAUCGGCAUCGCUUUAUUAAUAUAGCUCCGGCGGUUUUGCAUGGGCGUGCGCCUGAUUAGGUGGUUGGCGGGGUAACGGCGCACCCGACCUGCGAUCAGUAACUGGUGUGAGAGCACGACCAGUCACACGGGCACGGAGACACGGGCCCGACUCCUACGGGAGGCAGCAGUAAGGAAUAUUGGUCAAUGGACGCAAGACAGAACCAGCCAGGCCGCGUGAAGGAUGAAGGUCCUCUGGAUUGGAACCUUCUUUUGAAUGGGACUAAACCUCGUUUUCUUGAGAGACUGACGGUACCAGUAGAAGAAGCACCGGCUAACUCCGUG